rnacentral:rRNA from 1 species
UACAGAGGUCUCAACCGUUGUUCGGAUUCAUUGGGCGUAAAGGGUGCGUAGGCGGUCGGGCAAGUCGGCUGUGAAAUCCCAGGGCUCAACCCUGGAACUGCAUUCGAUACUGCCUGGCUAGGGUACUGGAGAGGAGACUGGAAUUUACGGUGUAGCAGUGAAAUGCGUAGAUAUCGUAAGGAAGACCAGUGGCGAAGGCGAGUCUCUGGACAGUUACCGACGCUGAGGCACGAAGGUCAGGGGAGCAAACGGG